AUUGAACGCUGGCGGCAGGCCUAACACAUGCAAGUCGAACGAGUGGCGGACGGGUGAGUAAUGUCUGGGAAACUGCCUGAUGGAGGGGGAUAACUACUGGAAACGGUAGCUAAUACCGCAUACCAUCGGAUGUGCCCAGAUGGGAUUAGCUUGUUGGUGGGGUAACGGCUCACCAAGGCGACGAUCACUCGCUGGUCUGAGAGGAUGACCGGCCACACUUGAACGUAGACACGGUCCAGACUCCUACGGUAGGCAGCAGUGGGGAAUAUUUCACUAUGGGCGCAAGCCUGAUGCAGCCAUGCCGCGUGUAUGAAGAAGGCCUUCGGGUUGUAAAGUACUUUCAGCGGGGAGGCGUUACCCGCAGAAGAAGCACCGGCUAACUCCGUGCCAGCAGCCGCGGUAAUUC
rnacentral:rRNA from 1 species